rnacentral:tRNA from 1 species
GCUUUGGUAGCUUAACUUAAAGCAUUGGUCUUGUAAACCAAAGAUUGUAAUAUAAUCUAUUACUCAAAGCU